AAAAGCAUGAAAAGCUACGAUUGGGCAAAACUAUGAUUCGUUCACUAAAACGGUGCCGUCUCUUUGUGUUUCUGAAUCUGUAACAAAAAUGUUUAAAAACCCUAGUUAUUGUGCUAAUGUCUUGUGUGAUUUAAUUUUUUUUAUCAGAUUGGCUCUGAAUAUUUCUCUAACAAAAAUUGAUGGCUAUUUAUCUUCACACUUUAUCAGCUAAAAACGCAGGAUACUUUAUCACUAAAAUUGAUUGACAGAGGAAGCAUUUCAUUUGAAGCAGAGUCCUCAAUUUGUCUGUCAAGGCAUCCUUAUUGGACUCAAUCCCCAAUGUGACAGCAUCCCCGUAAGGCUGCUCUUUCUUCAUUUGAUGGGGCCACAUUGGCGUGGCCUCCAUGCAGAUUACUUGUCGUGUUAGAAUCUCGUUAGCUUAGUUAUUGGAAAUUUCUAAUUAAAUGUCAUUUUGUGUCUUAUCUUAUGCAAAUUAUUGUAUUGGAAUUCUAUCUUGUAUAUUCUGUUUAUAGGAGCAUGAUUCUUGUUUCGCAAAUGGUGAGGCGUAGUAUUUAUAUGCAUGAAUGUUCAAACAUGUAAAGAUGUGACAGAGGGAAAGGAAGGAAAUCAAAAUAAGAUUGUUGCUCUCA